rnacentral:rRNA from 1 species
AAACUAACAAGGAUUCCCCUAGUAACUGCGAGUGAAGCGGGAAAAGCUCAAAUUUAAAAUCUGGUGGUCUUUGGCCAUCCGAGUUGUAAUCUAGAGAAGUGUUACCCGCGUCGGACCGUGUACAAGUCUCCUGGAAUGGACCGUCAUAGAGGGUGAGAAUCCCGUCUUUGACACGGACCCCCGAGGCUUUGUGGUGCGCUCUCAAAGAGUCGAGUUGUUUGGGAAUGCAGCUCAAAAUGGGUGGUAAAUUCCAUCUAAAGCUAAAUAUUGGCGAGAGACCGAUAGCGAACAAGUACCGUGAGGGAAAGAUGAAAAGAACUUUGGAAAGAGAGUUAAACAGUACGUGAAAUUGCUGAAAGGGAAACGCUUGAAGUCAGUCGCGUUGGCCGGAAAUCAGCCUUCCUUUUGGUUGGUGUACUUUCUGGUUGACGGGCCAGCAUCAGUUUUGACCGGUGGAUAAAGUUGUGAGGAAUGUGGCAUCUUCGGGUGUGUUAUAGCCUCGCUUCGUAUACAUCGAUUGGGACUGAGGAACUCAGCACGCCGAAAGGCCGGGGUUCGCCCACGUUCGUGCUUAGGAUGCUGGCAUAAUGGCUUUAAUCGAC